UACAGAGGGGGCAAGCGUUGUUCGGAAUUACUGGGCGUAAAGGGCGCGUAGGCGGCCUGCUAAGUCGAACGUGAAAUCCCUGGGCUCAACCCAGGAACUGCGUCCGAUACUGGUUGGCUUGAAUCCGGGAGAGGGACGUGGAAUUCCUGGUGUAGCGGUGAAAUGCGCAGAUAUCAGGAAGAACACCCGUGGCGAAAAGCGGCUCUCUGGGACGGUACUGACGCUGAGACGCGAAAAGCGUGGGGAGCGAACAGG
rnacentral:rRNA from 1 species